rnacentral:rRNA from 1 species
UACGUAGGGGGCAAGCGUUGUCCGGAUUUAUUGGGCGUAAAGAGCGUGUAGGCGGUCAGGUAGGUCCGUUGUGAAAACUCGAGGCUCAACCUCGAGACGCCGAUGGAAACCAUCUGACUAGAGUCCGGAAGAGGAGAGUGGAAUUCCUGGUGUAGCGGUAAAAUGCGCAGAUAUCAGGAAGAACACCCGUGGCUAAGGCGGCUCUCUAGUACGGUACUGACGCUGAGACGCGAAAGCGUGGGGAGCGAACAGG